rnacentral:rRNA from 1 species
UGAAUACGAGAUGCUACGGCGUCGAAGCAGUGUAUGUCAGACUUCCAAGAAAAGCUCGCAAUGUCAUAAAUAAAGAAUGCCUGUACCAUAACCGACACAGGUGGGUAGGUAGAGUAUACUAAGGGGCGCGAGAUAACUCUCUCUAAGGAACUCGGCAAAAUAACUCCGUAACUUCGGGAGAAGGAGUGCCUUCUUUAAGAAGGUUGCAAUAACAAGAUCCAAGCAACUGUUUAUCAAAAACACAGGUCUCCGCUAAGUCGUAAGACGAUGUAUGGGGGCUGACGCCUGCCCAGUGCCAGAAGGUUAAAGAAGCUGGUUAGCAAUAGCGAAGCUGGUGACUGAAGCCCUGGUGAACGGCGGCCGUAACAAUAAUGGUCCUAAGGUAGCGAAAUUCUUUGUCGGGUAAGUUCCGACCCGCACGAAAGGCGUAAUGAUUUGGAUACUGUCUCGGAGAGGGACUCGGUGAAAUAGACUUGUCUGUGAAGAUGCGGACUACCUGCACCAGGACAGAAAGACCCUAUGAAGCUUUACUGUAACCUGAAAUUGAAAUUGGACUUUAUUUGCGCAGUAUAGGUGGGAGGCGUUGAAAGUAAUCUUGCGGGAUUAGUGGAGCCAUCAGUGAGAUACCACUCCUAUAAUGUUAGAUUUCUAACUUUGGAUCAUGAUCUGGUCAAAGAACAGUUUCAGGCGGGCAGUUUGACUGGGGCGGUCGCCUCCCAAAUGGUAACGGAGGCGUACAAAGGUUUCCUCUGAACGGGUAGAAAUCGUAUCUAGAGUGUAAAGGCAUAAGGAAGCUUGACUGUGAGACCUACAAGUCGAGCAGGGACGAAAGUCGGUCUUAGUGAUCUGACGGUGCUGAGUGGAAAGGCCGUCACUCAACGGAUAAAAGUUACUCUAAGGAUAACAGGCUGAUCUCCCCCAAGAGUUCACAUCGACGGGGAGGUUUGGCACCUCGAUGUCGGCUCAUCGCAUCCUGGGGCGGUAGUACGUCCCAAGGGUUGGGCUGUUCGCCCAUGAAAGCGGUACGCGAGCUGGGUUCAGAACGUCGUGAGACAGUUCGGUCCAUAUCCGGUGUAGGCGUUAGAAUAUUGAGAGGAGCCUUCUCUAGUACGAGAGGACCGAGAAGGACAUACCUCUGGUGUACCAGUUAUCGUGCCAACGGUAAACGCUGGGUAGCUAUGUAUGGAGAGGAUAACCGCUGAAAGCAUCUAAGUGGGAAGCCCACCUCAAGAUGAGUAUUCUCAC